rnacentral:rRNA from 1 species
AGAGUUUGAUUAUGGCUCAGAACGAACGCUGGCGGCAGGCCUAACACAUGCAAGUCGAGCGCGUAGCAAUACGAGCGGCGCACGGGAUAGUAACGCGUGGGAACCUACCUUUCGGUUCGGAAUAACAUCGGGAAACUGGUGCUAAUACCGGAUACGCCCUUCGGGGGAAAGAUUUAUUGCCGAUAGAUGGGCCCGCGUUGGAUUAGCUAGUUGGUGAGGUAACGGCUCACCAAGGCAACGAUCCAUAGCUGGUCUGAGAGGAUGAUCAGCAUCACUGGGACUGAGACACGGCCCAGACUCCUACGGGAGGCAGCAGUGGGGAAUAUUGGACAAUGGGGGCAACCCUGAUCCAGCCAUGCCGCGUGAAUGAUGAAGGCCUUCGGGUUGUAAAGUUCUUUUGGUGGGGACGAUGAUGACGGUACCCACAGAAUAAGCUCCGGCUAACUUCGUGCCAGCAGCCGCGGUAAUACGAAGGGAGCUAGCGUUGUUCGGAUUUACUGGGCGUAAAGGGCGCGUAGGCGGUUUGGCAAGUUGGAUGUGAAAGCCCUGGGCUCAACCCGGGAAUUGCAUUCAAAACUGCCUUACUUGAAUUCGGUAGAGGUUGGUAGAAUUCCCAGUGUAGAGGUGAAAUUCGUAGAGAUUGGGAAGAAUACCCGUGGCGAAAGCGGCCAACUGGACCGACAUUGACGCUGAGGCGCGAAAGCGUGGGUAGCAAACAGGAUUAGAUACCCUGGUAGUCCACGCCGUAAACGAUGCAUGCUAGACGUUAAAGCCGUCAGGUUUUAGUGUCGCAGCUAACGCACUAAGCAUGCCGCCUGGGGAGUACGGCGCAAGGUUGAAACUCAAAUGAAUUGACGGGG